CAUGAACAGUGGGAACAGUAAAUAUAAAUAGCCUGAGUGGAGGCUGAUGAUAUGAUCUAGGUGCUUUUUUUGUUUUCGAUGGUGUCUUCGUGGUUUCGGGGUGUAUCCCUAAGAUGCUAGAUGCCACCAGAGAAGACAAAACCAAGAUGAUGAUGAUAAUGCAAGAAAGUGCAUAUGAUGAUUUUUUGAAAUCUUAUAUAGACGAAUCAAAACCACAGCGUCUAGCCAAAGACCCAACCAUGGCCUUAGCAAGAUCUGUAGAUAGAAUUGUGAGAGACAAGGCAGUCCCACAGGCAUGGAGACAUAAGAAGAUUGCAGACCCGGCAUGCCCAAGAUUGUUCACA
rnacentral:lncRNA from 1 species